UACGGGGGGGGCAAGCGUUGUUCGGAAUUACUGGGCGUAAAGGGCUCGUAGGCGGCCAACUAAGUCAUACGUGAAAUCCCUCGGCUUAACCGGGGAACUGCGUCUGAUACUGGAUGGCUUGAGUUCGGGAGAGGGAUGCGGAAUUCCAGGUGUAGCGGUGAAAUGCGUAGAGAUCGGGAGGAAGGCCGGUGGCGAAGGCGGCGCUCUGGAACGUUUCUGACACUGAGGCUCGAAAGCGUGGGGAGCAAACAGGG
rnacentral:rRNA from 1 species